rnacentral:rRNA from 1 species
CCUACGGGGGGCAGCAGUGGGGAAUAUUGCGCAAUGGGCGAAAGCCUGACGCAGCGACGCCGCGUGAGGGAUGAAGGUCUUCGGAUCGUAAACCUCUGUCAGCAGGGAAGAACGGUCACUGUGCUAAUCAGCAGUGAAUUGACGGUACCUGCAAAGGAAGCACCGGCUAACUCCGUGCCAGCAGCCGCGGUAAUACGGAGGAUGCGAGCGUUAUCCGGAUUUAUUGGGUUUAAAGGGUGCGCAGGCGGAUUUUUAAGUCAGCGGUCAAAUCGUGGGGCUCAACCCCAUCCAGCCGUUGAAACUGGGGAUCUAGAGUGUGUGAGAGGAUAGUGGAAUUCCAGGUGUAGGAGUGAAAUCCGUAGAUAUCUGGAGGAACAUCAGUGGCGAAGGCGACUAUCUGGCACAUAACUGACGCUGAGGAGCGAAAGCGUGGGUAGCAAACAGGAUUAGAUACCCGAGUAGUC